AGGACGAACGCUGGCGGCGUGCUUAACACAUGCAAGUCGAGCGGAAAGGCCCUUCGGGGUACUCGAGCGGCGAACGGGUGAGUAACACGUGAGUAACCUGCCCCUAGCUCUGGGAUAGCUCCGGGAAACCGGGAUUAAUACCAGAUACGACCACUUUAGACAUCUGUCGUGGUGGAAAGGAUUCCGGCUAGGGAUGGGCUCGCGGCCUAUCAGCUUGUUGGUGGGUAACGCCUACCAAGGCGACGACGGUAGCCGGCCUGAGAGGGCGACCGGCCACACUGGGACUGAGACACGGCCCAGACUCCUACGGGAGGCAGCAGUGGGGAAUAUUGCGCAAUGGGCGAAAGCCUGACGCAGCGACGCCGCGUGGGGGAUGAAGGCCUUCGGGUUGUAAACCCCGUUUCAGCAGGGACGAAGCGAAAGUGACGGUACCUGCAGAAGAAGCGCCGGCUAACUACGUGCCAGCAGCCGC
rnacentral:rRNA from 1 species